UGGGGAAUAUUGCACAAUGGACGGAAGUUUGAUGCAGCGACGCCGCGUGGAGGGUGUAGGCCUUCGGGUUGUGAACUCCUUUUUCUCGCGAAAAAGGCACAGUUUUGGCUGUGUUGAUGGUAGUGGGGGAAGAAGCGCCGGCUAACUACGUGCCAGCAGCCGCGGUAAUACGUAGGGCGCGAGCGUUGUCCGGAUUUAUUGGGCGUAAAGAGCUCGUAGGUGGUUCGUCGCGUCUGUCGUGAAAGCCAGCAGCUUAACUGUUGGUCUGCGGUGGGUACGGGCGGGCUUGAGUGCGGUAGGGGUGACUGGAAUUCCUGGUGUAGCGGUGGAAUGCGCAGAUAUCAGGAGGAACACCGAUGGUGAAGGCAGGUCACUGGGCCGUUACUGACACUGAGGAGCGAAAGCGUGGGGAGCGAACAGG
rnacentral:rRNA from 1 species